UAGUGUAACUAAAUAUUAUGCAGUGAUAACAUCAGACUUAAACUUGUUUUUCAUAUUUUGAAAUGUUUGCAGAUGACCAUGAAUGCAGCUGAUGCUGUCAUUCCUGUGGAAAGCUCCCAGCAUGCUGUCUUGUUAGAGACGCAGAUGACUGAAACUUUGAGUCCAUGAGACACUAAUCAACAGAUGACCAUGAAUGCAGCUGAUGCUGUCAUUCCUGUGGAAAGCUCCCAGCAUGCUGUCUUGUUAGAGACGCAGAUGACUGAAACUUUGAGUCCAUGAGACACUAAUCAACAGAUGAAAGGCACAGAUGUUGAAGAUUCAAAUGAAGUAUCCGACUCUAUACAAGUUUGUAUUGUUGCUUUCAGUUUUGUCUUGAGAGAACGCAAAUGAGCAGGACUCAAUAAAAAGUUUAAAUGUAUAAUUUAAAUGAGAGUUUGACUUCUUGAACUAAGGAAAUUAUUUUUUACUAUGAAGUAAUGCAGCAAACAACACAGACAAACAUGAAUACUAGUUUUAGGGUUGUUGAGUAUUCUGUGACUGAGAAGUACAAUAUUCCACAGUUUCUGGGUAGUUGACUGUGGUUAAAAAUAAGAACCAUGUGAGACGUAAACGAAGAAAACCCCUUACAGUGAAAUUAAGGUUGAAAAGUUUGAUGGGUGAGACAACAAUUUAGUAAUUCACUACUAAAUUCUUGGUACUUAAGUGACCCCUGAUAUCAAGAUUAAGUUAGAACAAUGUCUCUAGUAUAAAUGAUAUGUAAAUCAUUUGAUUCCCAUUUUAUUUGUAUAACAAAUUGUAUGUUUACCCUGUUUUCGCUAUAAAUAAAAACUAAAAAAGUA